CGGCUGUUUCCCUGCUGUCCAGCCAGACUGCUCCCCCCACUGCCCCACCCCCACCCCAGCAGCCUCAAGCCCUUAAUUCCUGACAGCUGCGGUGGCUCCCGGCAGAGAUGGGGGAGAGGAGGAGGGAGAUGCCGUCAGCCUGCUGUUGCUCAGGCCGCCACCACCACCUGACAGUCUAGGGACAGGGAAGGCCCCACCCUUCUCGUUCGAUUCCCCAGGGGGGGCCAAUUCCAGGAAUGGGCCCCUUUUUGUCUCUGAGCCCAGAGGCUUUGGUCGUUUAUCCUUAAGCCAGCAGGGGCUCUCUUCAGAGAGGGGGGCAGUGAGGUUGGGAGGGAUGCAUAUGUAUAGAGUGAGAGGCUUGUGCCCAUUUUACAGAGGGGAUGUCAAGGCCACAGUGGAAUAGGUUUUGCUAUCAGGGUGCAGGUUAGAGCCAGAAACAGAAGCUGGAGCUUGUCCCUGACUCUCUGGCUUUUGGGCCCUUACCUGGGUCCGGUACACUCAACAUGCUAGGCAAACCUAGUGUUCAGCUGGGAUGUGAGGACAGAAAAGAAUCCCAGAGAGGCGUGGCCCUGAGCCAGGAAGCUGGUGUUCCGGAGCUCCCAGAGGACCAAGAGACAGGGCCAAGGUGAGACCUGGGAUAUCUAUAGGCUAGACAUGGGGAAGGAGGACUCACUGUUGGGACUGCUGCUGCUAUGCUCAAGUGGGCUUUGAUUCAGCUCUUCCACUAACUUGCUGGGUGACCUUGAGUAAGUCAUGACCCUUUCUGAGCCUCAGUAUUUUCUUAUGAAAUAAAAGAGGAUGAAAUAAGAUAACCUCAAAGCACACUUUUAGGAUUAAAAGACUCUAAUCCCUCCUCUUAGGGUAUGCCACCCCUGGAUGCUCUGCUCCCAGACAAGUAUUCACUGGAGUCCCAGGACUUUUACCUUCACUGGCUCAUUGAUGAGAUGAGGUGGGUCUCAUUAACCUCAUUUCACUGAGGCAGAGGGUGGCUUCGUUUCCAGGAAGCACCUGUUGAAGGUCACACAGCCAACAAGAGCAAGAUCGGGGGGGCUGCCAACCCCUCUGCAGGACCCCACACCUGCCUCAGCAGCCAAGCCUGGGAAGUCCCUCCUGAGGUGGGGGAGGCGAGCAGAGGGC
rnacentral:lncRNA from 1 species